AUUGAACGCUGGCGGCAUGCCUUACACAUGCAAGUCGAACGGCAGCACGGGAGCAAUCCUGGUGGCGAGUGGCGAACGGGUGAGUAAUAUAUCGGAACGUGCCCAGUCGUGGGGGAUAACGCAGCGAAAGCUGUGCUAAUACCGCAUACGAUCUACGGAUGAAAGCGGGGGAUCGCAAGACCUCGCGCGAUUGGAGCGGCCGAUAUCAGAUUAGCUAGUUGGUGGGGUAAAGGCCCACCAAGGCGACGAUCUGUAGCUGGUCUGAGAGGACGGCCAGCCACACUGGAACUGAGACACGGUCCGGACUCCUACGGGAGGCAGCAGUGGGGAAUUUUGGACAAUGGGCGCAAGCCUGAUCCAGCAAUGCCGCGUGCAGGAUGAAGGCCUUCGGGUUGUAAACUGCUUUUGUACGGAACGAAACGGCCCUUUCUAAUACAGGGGGCUAAUGACGGUACCGUAAGAAUAAGCACCGGCUAACUACGUGCCAGCCGCCGCGGUAA
rnacentral:rRNA from 1 species